rnacentral:lncRNA from 1 species
UCUCUCUGCAAAAGGAGAAUCUGGACUCAGUUCCGUGAAGGAAGCUGCAGAAGAAAAAGGUGAAAGAGGUGAGGAAGCUGCAGAAGAAAACCUGGAAGUUAGCAGAGCUUGAUCCAGAGGUUUAAGGAAAGAAGCCAUCUCCAUAACAUAAAAGUGCAAGGUGAAGCAGCAAGUGCUGAUGGGGAAGCUGCAGCAAGUCAUCCAGAAGAUCUUGCUAAGGGUAUGCACAGAUGUGGAAACAGGAACUGAUGUGUCCAUUACACCACUAGGACAGAGGCCAGAACAAUGAAGAAACCAAAUGCUUGGAAGAGGGUAGAGAUAAUGAAUGGAGUCCAAGAGCCCUGAUUGUGCCAUAAAUGUCCAGAUAAUUCCAUACCUGAGGAUUAUGUGGUUUGUAAACUUGGCACUUAGAAGAACCAAUAAAAUUAUGUUAUAGUUUC